AUUCUUCUCAUGGUAUGAAAACAGAGGAUUCCGCUGGCAUUUGCAAAGCUAUACUGCACACAGCAGACAGACACAGUAACUCAUAGUUAGACUGACACCAGCAAGGCCAAGCAAAGGCCAGGCAUUGUUAGUCCGCUUGUUUAAGUCAAUGAACUGAUUCUGAGCGAAAAGCAGACGAGAAGGUUCCUCAUCAGGCAUUGGUGAGUGACGUAACUCACGCUAACUUGUGUUAACUCACCGGCGCCUGCAUGUACUACAUGGGGAGAGACGCAGGCCCGGUGCACAGCAUUGACACGGGAAUGCAUUGCACGCAGUCAAGAGCUAAUUUAUACAGCGCAGCAAGAUAAUUGUUUUAGCUACAUUUGCAUGCAUUUAUUUAGUUUUGGUUCAAAGGGACAUAAGGCCUGGGGGGUUAGAAGUAAACAGACAUUAUACAGUGCCAGUCAAAAGUUUGGACACACAUACCCAUAGAAAGGUUCAUUUGUACUAUUAGUACUUACUACUUUUUAGAAUAAUUAAAGAGACAUCAAAAUGAUUAAAUAACAUAAAUGGAAUGAUGUACUUACCAUAAAAGUAUUACACAAAAAAAAUAGUUUGUUUGGGGGGCAGGUCUGUGGGUUGGGACUCCAGAAGGUUGCUGGUUCAAACCCCUGGGUCAGCAGAGUGAUCCCACCAUUGGGCUCUUGAGCCAGGCCCUUAACCCCAAUUGGGAUGGUGUUCCAGCCGUCCUGCAGGAGGCCCCACAUAUAUGCUGAGCCCUCAUUGGUUGCUUUUCCUUCACUCUCUGGUCAAAGGUGGCCAGAUCAUGUGAUUGCGACACUGUCGCUCUCCUUUGUAGGCUGCUUGGCGUGCCCAGGUAGCGUAAGAAAAAAAAUUGUCUUCCAUUAUCCUGGAGUUUAUCCAUGGGACACAAGGCAGGGGACACCCUGGAUGGAUUGCUAGUCCUGCUCAAAACUGGCAAGUCAUAGACUGCAGCUGAGCUCAUCACCUCCUCUUCUUUGAGUGGGGGAAGAAACUCAUGCAGACAGGGGAAGAGCAUGCAGGCUCCACAGACAGAGAGCCAAGGGGCAGGAAUUGGACCCAGACCCAGCACUUCCAGUGAGAAAUUCCACAAAAUGAGCUCCGCUAUGAACAUUAGACAGUAUAAGAGGUUUUGCUGGGUACAGGAUCUGGGAUAACAUAGUGGGAGGCUGAAGAGUGUGGGGCUUCAGCUGUUCCGCUGACUGACGUGACAGUAAGCCAUUCUUAGCACUUAAGAAGGGAUUGAGAGCGUGUUCCGGAGCCAGACUACUGUACGUCCCGAAGGACGGCUGGACACGGACUGCCGACUGCAGCGAGGAGAACUGGAGCCCCUGGGGGGGGCGGGGCGGGGUUGCUGUGAAAUUCGUGUUUGUUUCAGUUUUAAUUUGUGUUUAUUUUUAGCUGAACUCAGGUCGUUCUCUAAUCCAAAAAAAAAGCAGAGCCUAGAUGCGGAAGCCAGAGCUGGAAGAUGAAAUCGCCCAGAAAGAUGGGGGAUACAUUCUAUACUUACACCCCAUAAGUUCAUUGUCAACAAGAUUCUGAAUAGCAUGUUUGUAAAAUAGGAGGGUGCCCUGAAGGCCUAAUCUGGAUUGUUUUACUUAUUGUCCUGAAUUAUUCAGUUCUGUAAUGCAGUAAAUAUUCUCAAUGUCACUGUCCACCCAAAAAAGGGGGAUUUAAAAUGUCAAUAUAAUCUUAAUAAUCACUAAUAAACAUGAUAUUCUGUUUCUCCAGAAGCAGUAGUUUGCAGUCUGUUUUUGGCUUGGCUGAAAUUGAGUGAUACUUCUGUUCCUCCAGCUAAAAGUCCCCUCGAACCAAGGGUCUAGGGUUACAGUCACGGUUUGUUGAAGCGUAGUUAAUAUAUUUGCAAUAACAAAGUUUAGCGGACCGUUACAUAAACAAUAUAAUUUAUAAUGUAGACAUGAGCAUCUGUUCUGAGAAUAAUAUUAGAUGGAGAUCAAGCCUACGGGUGCGUUUGCCUGGCUGUGUGUGUAGGCUGGAAGCUUGGCUGAAGGAAAAAUGCGUAAAGACAGAAAAUGAGCGAAGCCGGUCUCCUUUCAGGUUAGGGCGGCCUCUGGCACGAAGUGAAGAGAGGUUAGGAAACAAUCGUAGAAAGAGGGAAGCUGAGAGAGCACUUUAAUCCACAGAGGGCGUGAUUCUGCAUGCCUGUCAGGGGUGUGAUAAGCACAGGUAGACAGGAGAGGGGUUGCAAGCCAGCGGGUUUCGCUGGUGCUCCGGCGUGGGGGACGGUGCAGUGAAUCUCCACACAGCCUUCUCUCAUUGUAAAUACCCUCCGGUGAUGGACUCCCCCGGCAUGGUGAAGCCAAAUAUUUGUCAUAGUUAUCAGGGUGUCCCAUAGUGUGUCAGUAGAGAAGCCAGAUCUGACUGUCACUAAAUGGAAAUUUACCAGAGAGAUACCAAAGUAAUGGUCUGAAAGUGAGAGUUACGCAUGGUUCGCCAGUUCAGAGCCCGGUGGAAAAACUAAAUAAGAAUAGUAGCAAACAUGGGCAGCGACUCCAUCGAGUGGGAUUGUGGGAAACCAAACGAUUUUGUUGUCAGGUGGUGUCCUGUUCCAUUCACACAGUAUCUAUCAGGUCCCGUGAAUCUCGGAAGAUCAGAGAGGAAAGAGAGAGGGCAGGUUUGAGAGGGAGAGGCUCACCAAGAACAGAAGGAACUUGAAAAUGGUGUCUGACAUUUUUUUUUUUAUAUUUCCAAGUCCAAGUACUGGAUGGAGUUGAAGGAUGGGUGGAUUGAUGGAUGGAUUUUUAAUACUCUGCAGCUGCAAUGCUGCAUGUGGAUGAAUGUCCCUGAUUCCACAUCUUUGCGAGCUGGAGCACGCGCUCUGCAUUUCACGGUACGGGAGAGCGGGAUCCACAUCAGUGAACAAAAAGCACCUUCUUUUGCCUUGCGGGAGUUUUUGUGGGACGAAGAAAUGGAUGCCUAAUUGUCCGGUUAGCUGGGGGAAGGAGGGCGAGGCGUCUGCUUUUGGGGCUGCUGCGGAGGUGCCCCCCUGUCCACACCUUCACCUAAAUGCUCGGACAGGCAGGAAAUCAUCAUCUGGGGCCUCAUGGCUGCUCAACCGCACCCGGAGCCCCAGGCCGCCGCCCACGGCGAGUUGUCAACGUCGGCGUGGUAACCAAAGUGUCAGCGUGGCAAAUGGCGUCUCGGGGUCUCAGGGGUUUCCACGCCGUGGAUGAUCGAUUGCCGGCACCAGCAGGUCCGCCUGGUCUCACCCAGGCAGGACUUAAAGAAAAAGGCAAAAUAUUCAUCCCUCUGUAACAAACAAAGCUGGUCCACUCAGCUCAGCUCAUUUGCUUUUUGUGCAUUUUCCAGUCCCAGGAAAUGAAUGCAUGACAUCCAUAUUAAUUUGCGUGCAUGCGAGCGUUCAUUUUUUAAAAUUUAACCUGACUAAAAAUCUGGCAAAAACAGUUUAAAAGGACUUUAAAAUAGUAAAAAAAAAAAAACAGUUCUCAGUAGAAUGACUAGCAGGAAUGCAAUUAAAACUCAGUGGCUGGAAAAGAAAACAAAGGUGUUAAUUAAUUCAUUGUGACACCUGUGUCUUGUUUCCAUUUUCGUAAUGCUGUACACUUUUCUGAAACAGCGGGGUAAUUGAGCGAUUGCGUGCAUUGGCAGAAAUCUUACAUUUUUUUGGCUGAUUUUCAGCACUUUCCUAUUAUUGCUACGGUGCACUCUGGAGGCCAUAGCGUGCACUCUUGCAUGCAUGCAUGCGCCGCACUCGCAUGCAUGCAAGCUCAUGGCUGCUUCGUGUCUAUCAUUGGGUGGCAGGGGGAGGGCCUAGGAGCGUUUACUCUAAAUACAGGCAAGACGGAAUGCCUGUGAGGAGCAGGCCUGUGGAAGACACACCACUGUUUCAUCGAUGCAUGGUGCUCUGCCUUGACAAUAAGGAGAUGCCCUCGAUUGAGUCUUUGGCACUCUGUCGUUGCCAAGACUGCUAGCGGUGCGUGAACAGAUGAGUGAACAGUUUGGAGAGCAAAGCAGGGAAUGGCCAGGAUCCACUCAUAACUGAACUGCAAAGAAAUGCUAAGUACCCAAGACAAAGAAAUAUGGUACCACGCUUGUAAAUCUGCUAACCAAGCCAGACACCAGCCAAAACCCUGACAUGCUACUUCCGAAGACUGCUAUAAAUAAGUGAUGCUGCCCUCUAGUGGAUGGAGGAACACUCCUCGCAAUGCUGACUUAGAAUGUACUUGGAAGUGGAUUAUAACCAAGAGGGUAGGAAAAAGUUUCAUGCUGGUUCAAUCAGUUAAAAUAUAAAUGUAAAGCUCUAUUUCUAGGGGGAUGGGGUGGAAUGAAGCCCAAUUAAAUAUUGGGGGAUUCAUGCCUCCCCCGUCCUUCGGUUCCUGUGCCCCUAAAUGUAACAGAAGUGUAAUCCUGGGUAAAGGACAUGCUUUAUGUGAGGUUUUAUUCAGAACCUACGAAUGCAAUUAUAUUUGGAAAAAGAACGCAUGACUUGCAGAUGCAUCUGACUUGGAUAAUUCUCUCUGGCGGCGUUGACAGAUAGCGAUCUGUGGCAAUCUGAAUCUCUUUGUGUGACAGGCUUUGUGUCCGGCCCACUUAAAAAGCCAGCAAUAGGGCUUUGAUUCCUUUAAUCAUCUGAAAGUCGAAAGUGGUCAGAAGGGAGGCAGGAGAGUCAGAAAGGAGCCAUCGAGGGGGGCAGUACUGAAAAAAAAGGCCAGGGGGAAGAUUUGCAGACACUUAACCACUUAAGGAAAACGGCAUCACACAGGGAAACUGUUAAUAGUAACGCUUCAUAUUAACUGCACUUUCAUGAUGCACUCAUAUAAGAUUCAGCGCACUUUCAUAAUGCAUUCAUGAGCAUUCAUAGAACGUUCAUAAGCAGUAUGGAAGUAUACCUUAACAUUAUCACAGGUGGAAAGUUCCCGUCCAGAAAUUUAAAAUCCAGAAUUUGUUUCAACUAACCAGUUGAGUACUCUGUAACUGCACCAUAUACUUAAGUGGUUGGUUUAAACAAAAUCUUGAUCUGGUUUUUCAGUUUCUGGACCUGAAUGGUCUACUUCUGUACAUUAUGAAGAUGCACUGAAUGUUGUACAAAUGCAUUAUUAAGGCAUUAUGAAGGUGCACUGAAUGUUCUAGGAAUGCAUUAUUAAGGCAUUAUGAAGGUGCACUGAAUGUUCUAGGAAUACAUUAUUAAGGCAUUAUGAAGGUGCACUGAAUGUUCUACAAAUGUAUUAUUAAGGCAUUAUGAAGGUGCACUGAAUGUUCUAGGAAUGCAUUAUUAAGGCAUUACGAAGGUGCACUGAAUGUUCUAGGAAUGCAUUAUUAAGGCAUUAUGAAGGUAGACUUUAUGUUCUGGGAAUGCAUUAUUAAGGCAUUAUGAAGGUGAGGUUAAUGUAAAAUGCUACCCUGUUUUCAUUAACAUUACACCGUUCAGCACCAGGCACUGACAGCUAAAUGAAUUUCGUUUGAUUGCCCGCUUGCUUGUUUGUUUUUGUCAGUUUGUUUUUAUUUGGCAGAGAGUUCUAUUAGCAAUUUAUGUGCUGUGCUACUACCCUCAAAUUGGAACAUGAAACAGAACUGCUAAAAGCAACUAGAAGGAGUACCGG